CCCAGCCUCACCAGUGACCUGAACUAGGCUCUACCAUGACCCCCUUCAAACCUUGUCACCUGUGGACCACAUGCACUGCUUCCCCAGUUUUGUGACUGGUUGCUGUGUUGCUAGGGUUGGCUUGUUUGCCCUUCCCUCUCCUCUCCCCUGCAGCCCCAAUGCCUGCAGUACUGAACCCUGUUAGGAAAGGGUUGAGGAGCAUUAGUGUUGCAGAGAGCUCAGUGGAUUCCACCGCGCUUGCUCUCGGUCUGGGUCAGUGUGUUCAGAUCGUAUCAUUUCUGUAUCCCAAGUUAGCUGACAUUUCUUCAUGCAUGCCAGGGCCCUUCCUGCAGGCAUUGUGACCACCUGAACCAUGGGCUCCCUUUCUGUGUCCUCCUAGGCGAUUUGGAGUGUUGAGCUCUGUUUUCUUUGUGCUUUUAUUCCCAGCCUUGGGAAGAUAAAAGAUUAUACAUAGUGCAUUUUGCAAACUGAUGAUUUUAUACACACACACACACACACACAUUGUGAAGGGAAUGCACGUGAAGUUAAUUAAACAUCCGUCAUUUUAUGAACUUACCUUCUAAUUAUUACUACUUUUUGGUAGAAAUGCCUAAGAUCUUUUAGUAAAUUUCAGGAAUAUAAUAUUACUAACUGCACUCAAUAUGCUAUACAUUAUGUCCUCGGAACUUGGUCAUCUUAUGUUUGCACUUAUUGACCAACUUCUCCCCAUUUCCCCCACACCCCAGCCCCUGGUAUUCUCCAGGCAUCUCUCAGAGAUACUGUGGGUUCUAUUCCAGACCACUGCCAUAAAGUGUGAAUAUCACAAUAAAGUCAGUGAAAUUAAUUUUUUAUUCCCCAGUGCAUGUAAAAGUUCUGUUUGUGCUGUACUCUAGUUUAUUAAGUGUGCUAUCACAUUAUGUCUAAAAUAACAGUUUAAAUCUUAAUAUUGGUAGACAAUGCUAAUCUGAGCUUUCAGCGAAUCAUAAUCUUUCUACUGGGGAUAAGUCUUGCCUGGAUGUUGAUGGCUGCUGACUGGUCAGGAUAGUGGUUGCCUGAACGUUGGGCUGGUUGUGGCACAUUUUAAAAAUAAGACAACAGUGAAGUUUGCCAGUUUGACUUUACUUUUCCUGAAACAAUUUUCUCUAGCAUGCAAUGCUAUUUGAUAACAUUUUUGUGCAGUUGAGCUUCUUUCACAAUUGGAGUCAAUCCACUCAAACCCUGCCACUGCUUUGUCAAAUAAGCUUAUCUAGUUUUCUGAAUUCUUUGUUGUCGUUUUAACAAUCUUGACAGCAUAUCCACCAGUAGAUUUCAACCCAAGAAACCACCUUCUUUGCUCACCCAUAAGAAACAGCUGCUCCUCUGUUGAAGGUUCUUAAGAAAUUGCAGCAGUUCAGUUACAUCCUCAGCUCCAUUUCUUAUUUUAUUUCUCUUGCCUUUCCCACCACGUCUGCAAUUACUUCCUCCACUGAAGUCUUGAAUCCCUUAAUGUGUGAUCUGUGAGGGUUGGAAUCAACUUCUUCCAAACUGUUCAUGUUGAUAUUUUGACUUCUUCCCAUGAAUCAUAGAAGUUCUUCAUGGCAUCCAGAUUGCCAUUCCAGAAUCCUUUCCAGAAGGAUUCCAAUUCACUUUGCCCUGAUCCAUCAGAGGAACCCUGUCUAUGGCAGUGAUAGCCUUGAGAAAUGUAUCUCUUAAAGAAUAACACUUGAGGGUCGAAAUGACUCCUUGACCCAUGGGGCUGCAGAAUGCAUGUGGAGUUAGCAGGCAUGCAAACAUUAAUCUCAUUGUAAAUCUCCAUCAGUGCUCUUAGGUGACUGGGUGCAUUGUCAAUGAGCAGUCAUAUUUUUGAUAGGAAACUUUUUUCUGAACAGCAGAUCUAAGAAGGGCUUAAAAUACUCAUGGAAGUCUUGUUCACAUUUGUACAUGUCUUCCUCACUAAGCUUAAUCAUUUCUAGCUUUUUAUUUAAAGUGAAGGACAUGCAGCUCUUCUUUUCACUUGCACACCUAGAGCCGUGGGAGGGUUAUUAAUUGGGUUCAUUUCACUAUUGUGUCUCCGGCAGUUGGGAGCCCCCAUUAGAGAGAGGGGUAUCAGGGAACAGCCAGUUGGUGGAGCAGUCAGAACACACAUUUAUUAUGUUUUCCAUCAUAGGUGGGUAAGGUCAUGAUUACUCAAAAUCCCAAUGGUAUCCUCAGAGCUCACUGAUGAUGGAUCACCAUAACAAAUACAAUAAUAAAAAAUUUUGAAAUACUUUGACAGUUACCAAAAUGUGACACUGAGACAUGAGGUGAGUAAAUGUUGACAAUAUGUUGCCAAUAGAUUUUGCUCUACACAGUGUUGCUAAGUCACAUUCAGCAUGAAAAAAACAUGGUAUCUGUAAAGCACGAUAGAGUGAAAUGCAAUAUAAAACAAGAUAUGCCUGUACUGUGUAUUGCUGAUUUCAGGUUUUUUAUUUACAUUCCAACCACAGUGUACAAAGAUUCUCUUAUCUCUGUACCUUCACCACUUGUUAUUUCUGCAGUGUUUAUCUUGGUAGCCAUGUUAGAUUUGAGGUAUUACCUAAUUAUGAUAUUGAUUUACAUUUUCCUGAUAAUUAGGAACAUCAUACUUCAUUUGUAGGUCUUUAAUAAAAUUUCAACUUAAGUCCUUUGUGUGUUAUUCAAUUAGGUUAUUUUUUUGGAUUGUGUUAUGUGAGAGCUUUAGAUAUUAACCCCUUAGAUACAUCAUUUGGGAACAUUUUCUCCCUUUUCAUCUUGUUUGCUUUAUUUGCUAUAUGCAGAAGCUUAUUAGUUUGAUAUGGCCUAACUCGAUUUAUUUUUGCCAUUUGUGCCAUAAUUAGACUUUGGUGUCAUAUCUAAAAAAGUCAUUGUUAAGAGCAAUGUCAAGGAGCUUUUUUCAAGGAGUUUCACGUUUUCACAUAAGAUUCGAACUCAUUUCAUAAGUUACUUUUUGUAAAUAGCAUGAGCUCCAGUUUCACUGUUUUGCAUGUGCAUAUCCAGUUCCCCAGCACUAUUUCUUAAAUAGACUAUUCAUGGCACUCCUGUCCAGGAGAAGACCAUAUACGUGUGGGUUUUAUUUCUUGGCACUUUCUUCUGUUUUAUAGGUGUGCAUGUCAGUUUUUAUUCCAGUAUCAUACUGUUUGGAUCACUGUUUUAUUUGUUUUGUUUUAUUGAAGUAUUAUUGACAUAUGAUCUUCUGUUGGUUUCAAAUAUACAACAGAGUGAUUCAGAGAGAGAAAUAAGAUCACCUACAAAGGAAAACUCAUCAAGCUACCAUCAGACUUCUCAACAGAAACCUUACAGGUCAGAAGUGAGUGGCAUGAUGUAUAUAAUGCAAUGAAGGAGAAGGUCCUGGAACCAAGAAUACUCUAUCUGGGAAAUUAUCAUUUCAAUUUGAAAGAGGGAUUAAACAAUUUCCAGAUAAGCAAAAGCUGAGAGAAUUUAGCUCCCACAAACCAUCUCUACAGUGUAUUUUGGAGGGACUGCUAUAGAUGGAAGUGUUCCUAAGGUUAAAUAGCUGUCAGCAGAGGUAAUAAAAAGGCAUAGACAAAGAGUACACAAUAUGAUACAUAAUAAAUAAAGAAUGGAGAAGGAACUAAAGGAGGGUGGAAAAAACCUUUAGACUGUGUUUGUAAUAGCAUACUAAGUGAGUUAAAUUAGACUCAGAUUGUAAGGAAGUUACCCUUGAACCUUUGGUAACCACAAAUCUAAAGCCUGCAAUGGCAAUAAGUACAUACCUAUCAGUAAUCACCCUAAAUGUAAAUGGUCUGAAUGCACCAAUCAAAAAACAUAGAGUCUCACUCAAUGGAUAAAAAAACAAGACCCAACUGUAUGCUGCCUACAAGAGACUCACUUCAAACCCAAAGACAUACACAGACUAAAAGUGAAGGGAUGGAAAAAGAUACUUCAUGCAACUAAUAGGAAGAGAAAGGCAGGUGUUGUAGUACUUGUAUCAGACAAAAUAGGCUUUAAAACACAGAUAGUCACAAGAGACAAAGAAGGACAUUACAUAAUAUUAAAGGGGUCAAUCCAACAAGAGGAUAUAACCAUUAUAAAUGCCUAUUCACCCAAUGCAUGAGCACCUACAUAUGACAGAUCAACCAGAAAGGAGACAGAGGCAUUGAACAACACAUUAGAACAGAAGGACCUAGCAGACAUCUACAGAACUCUCCACCCAAAAGCAGCAGGAUACACAUUCUCAAGUGCACAUGGAACAUUUUCAAGAAUAGAUCAUGUAAUAGGCCACAAAAAGAACCUCAGUAAAUUGAAAAAUAUUGAAAUUGUACCAACCAAUUUCUCAGGCCACAAGGGUAUGAAGCUAGAAAUAAAUUACUCAAAGAAAACGAAAAAGCCCACAAACACAUGGAGACUUAACAACAUACUCAUAAAUAACCAAUGGAUCAAUGACCAAAUAAAAACAGAUCAAACAAUAUAUGGAGACGAAUGACAACAAUAAUUCAACAUCGCAAAAUCUGUGGGACACAGCGAAGGCUGUGCUAAGAGGGAAAUAUAUUGCAAUACAGGCCUACCUACUAUCAGUUUCAUUUGUUCUUUUUCUAGCUUCUUUAAUUGUGAGUUUAGACUGUUUAUUUGAGAUUGUUCUGUUUUCUUGAGGUUGGCCUAUAUUGUUUUGUACUUCCCUCUUAGUACUUCUUUUGCAGCAUCCCACAAAUUCCAGACUGCUGAAUAUUUGUUUUCAUUUGUCUCCAUGUAUUGCUUGAUUUCUGUUUUAAUUUGUUUAUUGAUCCAUUGAUUGUUUAGAAGCAUGUUGUGUUAGCCUCCAUGUGUUUGUAGGCUUUUUUGUUUUCCUUGUGUAAUUUAUUUCUAGUUUCAUCCCAUUGUGGUCUAGAAGCCAUUUAAUACAAUUUUAAUCUUUCUGAAAUUAUUGUGGCCUAGUAUGUGAUGUCUUCUGGAGAAUGUUCUAUGUAUACUUGGGAAAAAAGUAUCCUGAUACUUUUGGGUGGAAUGUUAUGUAGAUGUCUGUUAAGCCCAUCUGAUCUAAUGUAUUGUUCUGUGCCUCUGUUUCCUUAUUUAUUUUUUGUCCUGGUUAAUCUGUUGAUGUGAAUAAUGUGUUCACUGGUGAAUCUGUAGUCUUAGGAACAUUUCCAUCUACAGCAAUCUCUUUAAAUAACCUGUAAUGCUGGUAUAGUGGUUAUAAAUUCCUUAGCCUUCAUUUAUCUGGGAAUUUUUUAAGUCUCUGCUUCAGAUUUGAAUGAUAAUCUUGCUUGUUAGAGGGUUCUUGCUUGAAGGUCUUUCUGUUUCAAUACAUUAAAUACUUCAUGCUGCCCCCUUCAGUCCUGUAAAGUUUCUGCUAUGGAAGUGUGCUGAUAGCUUGAUGUUGUUUACAUUGUAAGUAACUUUUUUCUCUCACUGUUUUCAGUGCUCUCUCCUUAUCAUUAACUUUUGUCAUUUUAAUUAUAUGUCUUGAUGUUGUCUUCCUCAGGUUCCUUUUGUUAGGGGACUCUGUGCUUCCAUGACCUGAGUGUCUUAUUUCCCUAUCUAAUCCCUAAUUUUGAUACUGAGGCACAUUCUAAUUCUUUGAGUCUCUACUAUGAAACGUUUGUUAAUUUUGUCAAUGGUUUUUCCAUGUACAUUGAGAUGACAGUAUGAUUUUUUGGUCUUGUGUUAAAGAAGUAUCAUACGUUUAUUGAGUUUUUUUGUGAUGAACCGUCCUUGCAUUCCAGGAAUAAAUCCCACUUGAUCACCAUUUGUAAUUAA